CGCCUCUUGCCCAUNUCCUAUAAGAGGUCAAACCUGCCCAGUGAUAUAUUAGAUUCAACGGCCGCGGUAUUUUGACCGUGCUAAGGUAGCGCAAUCACUUGUCAUUUAAAUGAAGACCAGUAUGAAUGGUUUCACGAGGGCUUAACUGUCUCCCCCCUUAGGUCAAUGAAAUUGAUCUCCCCGUGCAGAAGCGGGGAUUCGUACAUAAGACGAGAAGACCCUGUGGAGCUUGAAAUAGAUGUAUACAGCAAGUCAAUAACCCCUAUAACAUGUACGAACUUAUUGAUUUUUAUAUAAUAUUUUUGGUUGGGGCGACCCUGAGAAAAACAAAACCCUCAUGCGGAAUAAGGAUAUCUUUACACUAGACCAUCUCUCCUUAAAACCCAGAAAGUCAUUUCCAGACAACAGAAUUUCUGACCUACAGGAUCCGGCAUUGCCGACCAACGAACCUAGUUACCCCAGGGAUAACAGCGCAAUCCCCUCUCAGAGUCCCUAUCGACGAGGGGGUUUACGACCUCGAUGUUGGAUCAGGACAUCCUAAUGAUGCAGCUGUUAUUAAGGGUUCGUUUGUUCAACGAUUAAAGUCCU
rnacentral:rRNA from 1 species